GGAGGCCGGUUGAGCGGUUCCCCGCCUCCCCGUCCUUGGAGCGGUCGGGCGUGGCCGGGCGGGUCCGGCCGCGCGGCGCCGCCCGGCCGCCG
rnacentral:tRNA from 1 species